rnacentral:rRNA from 1 species
UACGAAGGGGGCUAGCGUUGCUCGGAAUCACUGGGCGUAAAGCGCACGUAGGCGGCUUUCUAAGUCAGGGGUGAAAUCCUGGAGCUCAACUCCAGAACUGCCUUUGAUACUGGAGAGCUUGAGUCCGGGAGAGGUGAGUGGAACUCCGAGUGUAGAGGUGAAAUUCGUAGAUAUUCGGAAGAACACCAGUGGCGAAGGCGGCUCACUGGCUCGGUACUGACGCUGAGGUGCGAAAGCGUGGGGAGCAAACAGG